rnacentral:rRNA from 1 species
GAUGAACGCUGGCGGCGUGCCUAAUACAUGCAAGUCGAGCGAACAGACGAGGAGCUUGCUCCUCUGACGUUAGCGGCGGACGUGUGAGUAACACGUGGAUAACCUACCUUUAAGACUGGGAUAACUUCGGGAAACCGUAUCUAAUACCGUAGAAUAUAUGUAACCGCAUGGUGCAAUAGUGAAAGACGGGUUUGCUGUCACUUAGAGAUGGAUCCGCGCCGCAUUAGCUAGUUGGUAAGGUAACGGCUUACCAAGGCAACGAUUGGUAGCCGACCUGAGAGGCUGAUAGGCCACCCGGGAACUGAGACACGGUCAAGACUCCUGCGGGAGGCCGCAGUAGGCAAUCUUCCGCAAUAGGCGAAAGCAUGACGGAACGACGGCGCGUGAGAGAUGACGGUCCUCCGAUCGUAAAGCUCUGUUACUAGUGAAAAACACAUGUCUACGUCACUAUACACGUCUUGACGGUACCUGAUCAAAAAGCCACGGCUAACUACGUG